AGAGACAGAGAGAGAGAGAGAGAACAAGUGAAAAGCAGAAGACGUUACAGAGGAAGAGUCGAGGGUUGGAUUUGUUUCUCCUCACAAAAAGAACAGGACUGAAAGAACUGAACCGAAAUCAGAACCGACAUCAAAAGAACCGGAUGAAACUAAAUCAAACCAAAUUAAAAUCAGACGAAAUUGCACAGCCUACGGUCUGAUCUUGGACCCUCAACUCUAAGAAUCGUGACCGAUACCUUAG
rnacentral:misc_RNA from 1 species